UGGGCAACCUACCCUCAGCUCUGGGAUAACUCCGGGAAACCGGGCUAAUACCGGAUAUGACCACUCCUGGCAUCUGGGGUGGUGGAAAGUUCUUCGGCUGAGGAUGGGCCCGCGGCCUAUCAGCUUGUUGA
rnacentral:rRNA from 1 species